AUCCUACGGGGGGCAGCAGUGAGGAAUGGUGGUCACUGAACAAGAGCCUGAACCAGCCAAGUCGCGUGAGGGAUGACGGCCCUACGGGUUGUAAACCUCUUUUGUCGGGGAGCAAAUUCCGCCACGCGUGGCGGAGUCGAGAGUACCCGAAGAAAAAGCAUCGGCUAACUCCGUGCCAGCAGCCGCGGUAAUACGGAGGAUGCGAGCGUUAUCCGGAUUUAUUGGGUUUAAAGGGUGCGUAGGCGGACUGUCAAGUCAGCGGUAAAAUACGGGGGCUCAACCUCCGCCCGCCGUUGAAACUGACG
rnacentral:rRNA from 1 species